AGGACGAACGCUGGCGGCGUGCUUAACACAUGCAAGUCGAGCGGUAAGGCCUUUCGGGGUACACGAGCGGCGAACGGGUGAGUAACACGUGGGUGAUCUGCCCUGCACUUCGGGAUAAGCCUGGGAAACUGGGUCUAAUACCGGAUAUGACCUCCUAUCGCAUGGUGGGUGGUGGAAAGAUUUAUCGGUGCAGGAUGGGCCCGCGGCCUAUCAGCUUGUUGGUGGGGUAAUGGCCUACCAAGGCGACGACGGGUAGCCGACCUGAGAGGGUGACCGGCCACGACUGGGACUGAGACACGGCCCAGACUCCUACGGGAGGCAGCAGUGGGGAAUAUUGCACAAUGGGCGAAAGCCUGAUGCAGCGACGCGCGUGGGGAUGACGGCUUCGGUUGUAACCUCUUUCAGCAGGACGAGCGCAAGUGACGUACCUGCAGAAGAAGCACCGGCUAACGUACGUCGCCGAGCGACG
rnacentral:rRNA from 1 species